GGAGAAUAUAAUGCUAGUAGAAAAUUAACUGAAAAACUUAUUUUAAUAUAUUUGAAUAUACUUGUCUUUGAAAUUUUAUUUUUUAAUCCAAGACACAUAGAUUUUUGCUUUUUACAUUCAGAACUUUGACAACAUAUACUCAAAAAUAAAAAAGAGGCAAGAAGGGAUGUUGGGAAAAGACCUGGCUUGGAGACUAAAGACCAUCAAUCCUCUUGAAGCUUCCCCUCUUAAUUCUGGAAAUUCUUAGGGAGCUGAUUUCAUCAGCGGGAACUUCAGUCUCCCCAUUGACAAAAUGGGUAUAACCAUGCCUUCUUUUUCUACUCAAAAAAUUUUUAUGAUCCUAAUAUAACUUUUUAAAUGAUAUAAAAAUAUAAAAUACUAUACAUAUUGAAGGAGUUAAAGAAUGAAUCAAAAUAAAGGUGACAGAAAACAAUCUUUUAAUUUCAUUUUAUGUGAUGAUAGUAACUGAAUUAUAUAAUUAGCUAAAAUCUCAAUUUGCACUCUAAUCACUUAAGGAUUUUUAAAAGAAAUGAAUUUUCCUUUAGUUUAAUUAAAAUCCAUCAGCAAAUUAAUUUUAUCAUUGUCAUGCUAAAAGUUAUAUUAGAUUAUUAAAACAGUUUUUAUUGAACAGAGAAAUAUAUUCUUCCAGAAUUUAUUCUCUCCUUUCAUUUAUCUUUCCUCCUAUUUACCCAAAUCUACACGUUCAAGAUGAGCAGAUUAGGUGUACAAAAAUCAUUCUUUCAGAUUUGGGCUGGAAACAAAAAUUGUAGCCACUGAUGUUCUUUGUCUUAAAAUGUAUUAUAUUAAUCCAGUGCAUAACACAUUAGAGACAAUUAAAAGGGCAGUUUAAAUCCUUGAACAGUUGAGGAUUUUUAGAUUGCAAAAGGAUAACAGGUACAUCUAUAAUUUCUGGCAAACUACUCCUCAAAUUCAAAACAGUAAUUGAAAAAUACUCUUUUUCCCACGUUUUGGUGCUGUUUGAUAAUGAGAAUGCAGUGUUUCCCCAGAUGUAACUGAAUAUCAAAAGACAGUUUCACCCUAAAAUAGUUUUCUCUAUCUGAUAAACUUUUAUUUUACAAUUAACCUUGCAUAGAGAAUAAAUCUUAAGGGACCAUGACACAUAGGUCAUUUGAUGUUUUCUCCUAAGAAAAGAUAACCACAUUUUAGAGAUGAUGCCUUCGUGAAGAACUUCUAUUGAAAAAUAACACCAUUUCAAAUAUGAUCAAUUUGAACAUAGCAAGCCAGUUUGGAACAUCAAGACAUCUUACCUAGUUUUCUUCAUUCUGGACACUGAAUGAUCAAUAAAGUCUUCAAAUAAUAGAACUCUGCUCAGACAAUGACAUGUAAUUUGGAAUGUUGUAAUAUAAAGUCAAUCCAAUUAAAUGUUCCCAAGUAUUUUAUUUUUCCCAAACGUAGCAUGUAUAUAUGUCUUUGAUGAAAAAUGUAUUUUUACAGCAUACUCUUUCUUCCCUUCCCAAUUCCCAGCGAUGUUGAAUCAAUUCCACUGAAUGUAGAGAGAACAACGAUAUGAGAAUUGCACCUUUACCAUACACACAGAAAAAGAAUUUUCUAAGAGUGCAGUUAAAAUAAAACAAACAGGGGUUCCUUUGCCUCUGAAGAUUGGUAACUGUAUGUUGACAUGAACACACGUUGACACAGGCUUUAAAAUCCUGUGUGUGGGCUGAGGGGGUCUGCUGAGGGGGGUCCCUUCUCAAAAUAUUUAAACUUGAGCCACUGUACCAAUCCCACAAAGCAAAAAGAAAAAAAGGAGGAGGGGGGGAGGAGGGAAUAAAAAUAAGAAAGAAUUUCACUGAAAAUAUAAAAGGAAUUACCCAUGGGAAGAGAAUACAGCAGAAAGGAUGGGAUGCAGCGAAACAGUGUCAGGAGUGUGUCAGUGAGAACUUCAGAAAGGUUGGAAAUACUCCCCAAAGUAAAAUAUUUGAAUCCCCAGCCACAACCAAAGGAAAACAGACAUUUGCAGGCAUAAUAAAAAUAUAUAACAAAUUGAAGGAAUUCCACUAAAAGUCUUGUGUGAACUAAAACAGCAAAAGACACAGAAAGGAAGAAACCUUGAUGAUGAAAAUUUGGCAAAUCUAAGCAAGUUUAAAGUAGAGUGGCUUUUCUUUCCCCUUAGCUUCUUUGAGGUCAAUGAAAGAUAGGAGAAUGCAAGGUGGCUAAGGGGGAGGAGGAUGUAAAAGGGGGAAAUGAAUGGACAAAUUAGCAGGAUAAUUAAUGCAUGGGAAAGGGGCGGGGAAUACCUGACUUAGAGGAGGAAAAAGAAGCAAGAUAGAGCUAUUUGUUAGUGCCUAAAGGGAGGAAAAAGACAAGAUUAAGAGGCUCUAACUGGUUGUAGAAAGAAGGCUGAAGUGGGUAAAAUGUUACAUGAUGUAAGGUUCAGAGAUGAUGCAGGGAUGUGUGUAGAAAAUGGGGUGAGGUGAAGAUGAAUGUGCUUGAAAGUGGCUGAAGGAGUGGGGGUCUCCCCAGGACAAAGGGAGUUUACUGGAUAGAUGGAAGAUGGGGAAUUUUUCGAAGUCUGGAUGGGGAAAGUGAGAUGAGUAAAAAGAUCUGAGUGGAUACAUGAUGGUGCCUAAAGAGAAAUUUUAUUCCCCAAAGUAGCCUUCUUUUCUUUCUUAGUUAUACUGAUUAGCUUUAGGCCCUAUUCUUUCAUUAGUCCUCUUUUCUGGAUGUUACAUUAUCUUCUUAACAUAUUUGCUUCCAGUCUCUACUGUAAUACAUCAAUGUAUUCAAUUCUUCAUUUAAAUGCAAACAACAAUAAUAUUUCUACUGUGUGCUAUCUAUUGCCCAAUUUUCUCAGGCUAUUUUAUUGUUGUUACUUUAACGAAUUUGCUGGAAAAAAAUAUUCAAAGAUGUUCUAGGUCUACAAAACACACAUAUACCUCUAAACUUUGUAACAAGACACCAAGCCCUCAUGCCCUUCCUUACUUAUUCUGUGCAGGUCAUGACCUUCCAGAUACAUUUCUUGGCUAGCCACUGACUAGGAAUGACUAUUUUUAAAGCCACAGACCUCUCUCUCCUUUAUGAACCUCUUCUCAACCUCUUAACAAAAAUUAAUUCCUCUCUCCAUUAUGUUCAAUUACAUCAUUUAUCACAUCGUAUCCUAGAUCUAUAAGAGUGUCAUGGCUCAAAGAGGCCCAUGCCAUGUUUGUCAUACUCUCUUUUGUAUUCCUAGAGCCUAGCACAUUGUCUGGCACAGUAGGUGACUAAUUAAAGUUUGUGGACUCCUCAGUGAACAAAUACAGGGAUGACACCUCCUUUAAAUUAUGUGAAGCAAGAUUCUUGGAGAGAAUUAGCCUUCAAAAUUUCAUUCCCUGAAUAAUUUUCUUUCCCACUAAGAAAACGUGGCUGCCAUACAUAUUUUUUCAAUGUACCUCAAGGCCAGUGGCUUAUAUAAACUCUCCUUGUCGAUGUGCCUCGCCUUGCUCCACCAAGAAUCUUAUAAAUCCUAGCUAAAGGCUGUUGUGGACUGCUUGCGCAGAGAAAAAGAAUUUUCUGCUUUCUGAAUCUCUUAACCAGAUUGCUUCCCUGCCACCAGCAGUCUGGAAGCUCUCUAUCAAGAAUUUUUAUCUCGCAAAAAAUAAAUAAAUAAAUAAAGUUUUGAAUACCAAGAGAAGGAAGAAUGUGAAACCUGCAAUCCCUUCUGCCAGGCCUUUCAGCUGCUGAAACCCAGCAUUACCUGGACGUCCUUCAGAAUCCAGUCCGGUGACAAAAAGGCCAAGGAGCCAGGGGGAAGGGGCAGGGAGUGGGGGUACACAGUUUAUUUCAACCCUUAGCAAAUGACUGAGCUCUAGAAAAUGAGUGUGUUUUAUGCUUGGUCGGAGUUUCUUUCCCAUUCCUGUAUUUCAGACGCACAGCAACUUUAAGUUUGCUGCCAGCUAUACGUCAUGAAAGGGAAGCUUUUCAUCAAAGGGAAGAAGAAAAGGAAGGGGGAAGAAUCCUACUUUUACAAAACAGAGUAAUUCUUUGCUCCUGCUCCCUUUGCCCACAUCUCUCACCUGCGUCCAAACCAAAACACACAACGGAAUAACCAAAAGGCACCUGGCAAAAAGCUCUAGGCAUUCUAACUCUAAAAGGACUGAUGAAGACGCUUUUCUGACUACAGACAGAAGGACUCCCCGUUACUGAAUGUUUUUAAUGUACCAUCUGCAUUAUAUAAAUUGUCCCAUUAAUCCUCCAAACCAUUCUAAGAGGACAGGUUUUGCCUUAAGUUAUCCAGAUGUUGUGUGGUGAGGUGAAGGAUUCCAACAGUUUUGUUCGUUGAGAAAAGCAGAAUCCUUUUUUUUUUUCAUUAACAAUGAGAAUGAAUUUUCCUAUUCCAUCAAGAUUUCUAUGUGGCCAUCUCUUCAGGACAUAGGUAUCAGCUACUGUUUUAAAUUUAGGAAAUGCACACACAUAUGCAACCAACCACAUAAUGUUUCCAAAGCAAUAUAUUGAGAUUGAUACAAAUACACAUUUUUCAAGAAUCCUGGACUAAUCCCACACUACUCUGAGCCGCCUUUACUUUUUAAGCCUCUUUAUUUCUAUUAUAUGACUGUGAACUAAGUAGAUUUAACUUUUGUAUGCUUUUAAAAUCAGUUAUAUUUUCUGAUAUGUGAUAACAAAUAUACUGUGUAUUUCAUUGAAACGUAUAGGAAAACUGCUCUUUUUUUCCUUUUAAAAUCAAUGCCUAUGGUAUAGUCAACAAAGUAUUUAAUGAGUGGCUAUUUUGAGCCAUUUUUAAUUGGCUGGACUACUGCAGACAUACCAUUUUAAAUGAUUACACAUAUGUCUAGAGAAUCAGCAUAGGAUUUUUGUUUUCCCUUUGAGAUUGAACAAUUUUUAUUUCAUCAUUACUAAAACUUAGCUGACAAUUUUUAUUUUUUCAUUACUAAAACUUAGCUGGAUGUCAGUUUCUGCCUUUAAAUAAAAUAUCCAAAUCCAGGAUUAUUCUCAAUUGCAAAAAUGCAGCUGGUCUCAACUAUUCCUUUUAUAUUUUCUUUCACAUAGGGUAGAAAAUGGUGAAUCAUUGUACUUUCAUAUAAUAAAAAGAUGUCUUGAAUUUUAAAUGUAAUUGUCCUUUCUUGAGUAACUUCUAAAUGAAGUGAAACCACAAAGGCAGUUUGGCACACUAUUGAUUCUAUCCUGGUUAUCUUUUUUGUCAGGCUAGAAUGUGAAGGGAAAGGGUUUGGAGCACAGAAUGGUUUUCCUUUUAAAGAAAAAAAAUUGAAUGAAAAAUUGGCAAUGAAAAUAAAAUACUGGACCUAGAUUCCCCAACUCUGUGAAUGUUGUUAUUAUUAGCCUCCACCUUCUCUAGCCCUGUUGCUGGAGCCAGACGCAC
rnacentral:lncRNA from 1 species